GACGAACGCUGGCGGCGUGCCUAAUACAUGCAAGUCGAGCGGACUGAAUGGGAGCUUGCUCUUGUUCGGUCAGCGGCGGACGGGUGAGUAACACGUGGGCAACCUGCCCGCAAGACCGGGAUAACUCCGGGAAACCGGAGCUAAUACCGGAUAACACCGAAGACCGCAUGGUCUUUGGUUGAAAGGCGGCGCAAGCUGCCACUUGCGGAUGGGCCCGCGGCGCAUUAGCUAGUUGGUGAGGUAACGGCUCACCAAGGCGACGAUGCGUAGCCGGCCUGAGAGGGUGACCGGCCACACUGGGACUGAGACACGGCCCAGACUCCUACGGGAGGCAGCAGUAGGGAAUCUUCCGCAAUGGGCGAAAGCCUGACGGAGCGACGCCGCGUGAGCGAAGAAGGCCUUCGGGUCGUAAAGCUCUGUUGUGAGGGACGAAGGAGCGCCGUUUGAAGAAGGCGGCGCGGUGACGGUACCUCACGAGGAAGCCCCGGCGAACUACGG
rnacentral:rRNA from 1 species